GGGCCCGCCGGGUGGUAAAGGAAUCUCCAAAAUUCGCUUUAGAGGGUUCAACUCCCUCCGGGUCCACCA
rnacentral:tRNA from 1 species